ensembl:lncRNA LINC01524 long intergenic non-protein coding RNA 1524
CUUCCGGCCAGCUCUCUUCCGCUUCUGCUGUCUUGAUGACGCACAGUGCUGGCGCAAGUCGUCUUGCGCCAGGCGACUGGGUCUGAGGAGGCAGGAGUUAUUCAUUCCCUUAAGCUUUCAGGCCGGGGGGAGAAUCUUUCAGGUGGUAGCUGCAAGAACUCUUAGUAUGUUGACCUCACCUCUGCCUUCCACAUACCACUACCAGUGAGGAAUUAGGAAUGCAUGAGAAGAGUGUCCAAGAAGAGUGUCCUCAUUCAUGCAAGGCUUAAGAGAGAAUGCAGGUCAACAUCACCAUGUCAAUCAGAGAAUACUUCUGUUGGGUUGAAUGACUCUCUGCCCCCAGGUUGAAGUUGGAGACCAAAUCGUGUACCUCGCUCUCCUGGCACAGGAAAUUGUGUCCAAUGAGGGAUAUUAAAACUGUUAAACCACAAGCACCAGCCAGUCAGGAGAGAAACCCAGGCUGCCAGAACACAUGCUGGAAAUGAACCACUGGCAUCGCCUUGCCAGAGUGUAGCAGUUGAAUGUGGCCUUAAAUGCACUCAUGCUGCUAGUGCAUUUGGUGCAGAUGCUGAGAGCACUUUCUAGUCAAGUCCUGCAUGUUCAUUUCUGUCUCAAGUCAGCUUCUCUGAGAAUCCAAUUUAUAAAAAUAUAUUUGUGAAUGUAUAAGUAAAGUGACUUGGAUUUUGUCUACGUACAAGGACUUCUAUGCCUGCAUAAAACAGAACCUUGUACAGUCCUGAGAAUGAGCCUGGACCAACUUGCUAGAAGAUGAGAAUGGGUAUGAAAGAGAGCUGAGUCCUUCCUACACAGGACAUCGUAGACCAGCCACCUCCAGCCAGCCUGCUAGUUGACCAAGGUGCAUAGGUCAGCUCUGCCUGAUAGAAGUUGGGCCUUAGUCCAGAGGACAUACUAAGCCAAUCUACAGACUUGUAAACUAAAACAAAUGGACAUUGC